rnacentral:rRNA from 1 species
UACGAAGGGUGCAAGCGUUACUCGGAAUUACUGGGCGUAAAGCGUGCGUAGGUGGUGAGUUAAGUCUGUCGUGAAAGCCCCGGGCUCAACCUGGGAAUGGCGAUGGAUACUGGCUCGCUAGAGUGCGGUAGAGGAGAGUGGAAUUCCCGGUGUAGCAGUGAAAUUCGUAGAUAUUGGGUGGAACACCGGUGGCGAAAGCGGCUCUCUGGCCCGGAUCUGACGCUGAGGCGCGAAAGCGUGGGGAGCAAACAGG